UACGUAGGGUGCAAGCGUUGUCCGGAAUUAUUGGGCGUAAAGAGCUCGUAGGCGGUCUGUUGCGUCGGCUGUGAAAAACCCGGGGGCUCAACCCCCGGGCCUGCAGCCGAUACGGGCAGACUAGAGUUCGGCAGGGGGAGACUGGAAUUCCUGGUGUAGCGGUGAAAUGCGCAGAUAUCAGGAGGAACACCGGUGGCGAAGGCGGGUCUCUGGGCAGUAACUGACGCUGAGGAGCGAAAGCGUGGGGAGCGAACAGG
rnacentral:rRNA from 1 species